GUUGCUUUGGUGGAGAUUUGCACUCUCUGAGUGCUCUUGUUAUUGUUAUUAUUAUUAUUACUAUUAUCAUUUACAUAUGUAUCACUCAAGCACCUUAACAAUUAUAACAUUUCCAUCUAAUUACAAGUGUGUAUCCUGUGGGGCACGCUACUGUUGUACAAAGUGUCUUGGAACACAUCAAGACACACGGUGAGUUUCAUCAGGUUUAAUUUCUUCUUUUUUCUGUAAUUCGUCUCUCUUUCGCUAUAUACGUGUGUGUAUAUAUGUAUAUAUAUGUAUAUCUAUGUGUGUGUUCAUUCAUCAUCAUUGUCAUCAUUGUUUAACAUCCACUUUCCAUGGACAGUUUGACAGGAACUGUCCAGGCAGAAGACUGCACUAUACUUCUGUGUCUGUUUUGGCAUGGUUUUAAUGGCUAGAUGCCCUUCCUGACACCACCCACCUCGCAGAGUGGACUGAGUGCUUUUCCUGUGGCUCCAGCACGGGCUUAUAUGUCCGCCAGACUGAUAAGUGAUUUGGUGUCUGGCUGGUUUUCUGAAGUUUGUGUUGCAGAUCUUGAGAUCAAUUGCAUCACAGGAUUCCAGUAGCCUUGUUCCCUCCUCAUUCCUGGGGCCAAAGCCAAUACCAUCAUGCACACCAUGGAAUCCAUGAGAAUGCUGCCCAAUGUGUCCCUGCCACAAUAACAUCUCUGUCAUUUCUUGUUGAGGUAACAUGCAGAAGGACCUCGGAAAAUUGGUCCUCAACCAACUCAGACUGUGGGGCAUAGGCAGAAAUAAAUGUAACUAUUAAUUUAUCUCUGAUAAGUCUCAGCUUGAUUGCCCUAUCACAUACUCUGACUACUUCAAUUAUCUUAUCUUCCCACUUUUCUACUAAGAGUAUUCCUACACAACCCACUGCAUUAUUUCUACCUUCCCAAUUUUGAGGGGAGGGGUUAAGUCAAUUACAUUAACUUUAGUGCUCGUAUGAUACUUAUUUUAUUGAUCCUGAAAGGAUGAAAGGCAAAGUCAACCUCAGCAGGAUUUGAACUCAGAACAUAAAGACAGAUGAAAUACCAUUAAGUAGUUUUUCUGGUCUGCUAACGAUUCUGCCAGCUCGCUGCUUUAUUUCUAAAUUGAUAUUAAAAAAUACUAUCUUUAGUUUAAAAAUCUAGGUAGGUGGGUAGGCAGGUGGGUGCAAAUCUCGUUGAGUGCUAUGUCUACAUCUAAGGCUAUGACAGCUGAAGGUGAUCAAAGAGUAAACCAUUCAAAAUGAAGAGGUGUAAAUAUUUGUAAAAUACACAUUCUAAGGAUGAAGUUAAUUAAAAGUUUGAUGGGAAAUUAUGAUUGAACUUGUAAUUUAAUUUUAUUUUCUUACUCAUUUAGAUGUCUAAAAUAUACUGCCUGAUGAGCUGAUGAUGAUGAUGAUGAUGAUGAUGAUGAUGAUGAUGAUGAUGAUGAUGAUCAGAAGGAGUCAUAUUUAAAAGUGUCAUGUGAAGCCACUGGAGUAAAAUGUAACAGAACAACAUGACCAACAGAUCCACAGUUCAUUCCGUUUACCUGCACAAGUCAGGUGAAAGAAAAAAAGAAGAGGAAUAAACAACAGAAUUGGUGGUUUUUAUUACAAGCUACUUUUGCUGUUUGAAAUGUGAUGAAAAUAUCAGACAAAACAGCAAAAUGUGACAUUGUUACCGUUUCAUACUAAACACAAUUAGUGAUGGAAAAGUAACGAGAAACAGUUUUUUUAAUCUAAAGUUGGAAUCUGUCUGACAUUGUAAAUAACAGCUUUUUCUUUUUUCUUUUUUCUUUUUCAAUAAACCAAAUAAUCUUAAAAGAUUCUCAAUGAC
rnacentral:lncRNA from 1 species